rnacentral:rRNA from 1 species
UGGCCUACGGGAGGCAGCAGUAGGGAAUAUUGCUCAAUGGGGGAAACCCUGAAGCAGCAACGCCGCGUGAAGGAAGAAGGCUUUCGGGUUGUAAACUUCUUUUGACAGGGAAGAGCAGAAGACGGUACCUGUCGAAUAAGCCACGGCUAACUACGUGCCAGCAGCCGCGGUAAUACGUAGGUGGCAAGCGUUGUCCGGAUUUACUGGGUGUAAAGGGCGUGUAGCCGGGCUGACAAGUCAGAUGUGAAAUCCGGGGGCUCAACCCCCGAACUGCAUUUGAAACUGUUGGUCUUGAGUAUCGGAGA